rnacentral:rRNA from 1 species
AACUCUUAGCGGUGGAUCACUCGGCUCGUGCGUCGAUGAAGAACGCAGCUAGCUGCGAGAAUUAAUGUGCAUUGCAGGACACAUUGAUCAUCGACACUUCGAACGCACUUGCGGCCCCGGGGUCCUCCCGGGGCUACGCCUGUCUGAGCGUCG